ensembl:lincRNA
GUCCUCUCUUCACAGAUUGCAUUCCUCAGUAUUGACGUUUCACUCACUUGAUUUAUCCCAACAGCUUCCCUGAUGCCAACCAGCUCAUAAUUCCCUUUCUGGGAGCAUCACUUCAAGGCCUUCCUGGUUAUUUCCCUUGGCUCCUCGUAUUUGUGGAUCGACGCCUAAGAAAUUUACUGGUAAAUGCCUCCUUUGUGCUUUGCAGACAAGAGUUUCUGACAUGUCACAGGAAACGCUGAAGAAGUCACUCUUCGGGGUGUGUUUUCAUCCAGGAGGCAGUGUGAGAUGGAUUAAUGGCAAAUCACAAUAAAUUAUUUAUCA